AUUGAACGCUGGCGGCAGGCUUAACACAUGCAAGUCGAGCGGGGGAAGGUAGCUUGCUACCGGACCUAGCGGCGGACGGGUGAGUAAUGCUUAGGAAUCUGCCUAUUAGUGGGGGACAACAUCUCGAAAGGGAUGCUAAUACCGCAUACGUCCUACGGGAGAAAGCAGGGGAUCUUCGGACCUUGCGCUAAUAGAUGAGCCUAAGUCGGAUUAGCUAGUUGGUGGGGUAAAGGCCUACCAAGGCGACGAUCUGUAGCGGGUCUGAGAGGAUGAUCCGCCACACUGGGACUGAGACACGGCCCAGACUCCUACGGGAGGCAGCAGUGGGGAAUAUUGGACAAUGGGGGGAACCCUGAUCCAGCCAUGCCGCGUGUGUGAAGAAGGCCUUAUGGUUGUAAAGCACUUUAAGCGAGGAGGAGGCUACUUUAGUUAAUACCUAGAGAUAGUGGACGUUACUCGCAGAAUAAGCACCGGCUAACUCUGUGCCAGCAGCCGCGGUAAUACAGAGGGUGCGAGCGUUAAUCGGAUUUACUGGGCGUAAAGCGUGCGUAGGCGGCUUAUUAAGUCGGAUGUGAAAUCCCCGAGCUUAACUUGGGAAUUGCAUUCGAUACUGGUGAGCUAGAGUAUGGGAGAG
rnacentral:rRNA from 1 species